rfam:Ricinus communis cultivar Hale ctg_1100012340526, whole genome shotgun sequence.
AAGUCAGAAUCCGGGCCAGAAGCGACGCGUUGUCCGCCGCUCGUUUGCCGACCAGCAGUAGGGGCCCUCCGGCCCCCAAAGGCACGUGUCGUUGGCUAAGCCCUCGCGGCGGACGAGCCGCGCGGGCCGCCUUGAAUUACAAUUUCCACCGGGCGGCGGACUGAAUCCUUUGCAGACGACUUAAAUACGCGACGGGGUAUUGUAAGUGGCAGAGUGGCCUUGCUGCCACGAUCCACUGAGAUUCAGCCCUUCGUCGCUCCGAUUCGU